rnacentral:rRNA from 1 species
UGGGGAAUAUUGGACAAUGGGCGAAAGCCUGAUCCAGCAAUGCCGCGUGAGUGAUGAAGGCCUUAGGGUUGUAAAGCUCUUUUACCCGGGAUGAUAAUGACAGUACCGGGAGAAUAAGCCCCGGCUAACUCCGUGCCAGCAGCCGCGGUAAUACGGAGGGGGCUAGCGUUGUUCGGAAUUACUGGGCGUAAAGCGCGCGUAGGCGGCUUUGUAAGUUAGAGGUGAAAGCCCGGAGCUCAACUCCGGAACUGCCUUUAAGACUGCAUCGCUAGAACGUUGGAGAGGUGAGUGGAAUUCCGAGUGUAGAGGUGAAAUUCGUAGAUAUUCGGAAGAACACCAGUGGCGAAGGCGACUCACUGGACAACUGUUGACGCUGAGGUGCGAAAGCGUGGGGAGGCAAACAGGAUUAGAUACCCUGGUAGUCCACGCCGUAAACGAUGAUGACUAGCUGUCGGGGCGUCAUGGAGUUUCGGUGGCGCAGCUAACGCGUUAAGUCAUCCG